rnacentral:rRNA from 1 species
ACAUAGGGGGCGAGCGUUAUCCGGAAUUAUUGGGCGUAAAGGGUGCGUAGGCGGUUAUAUAAGUCUUUGGUGUAAGUGCAGAGCUUAACUCUGUGAUGCUUUGGAAACUGUAUAACUAGAGUUAGAUAGAGGCAAGUGGAAUUCCAUGUGUAGCGGUAAAAUGCGUAAAUAUAUGGAGGAACACCGGUGGCGAAGGCGGCUUGCUGGGUCUAUACUGACGCUGAGGCACGAAAGCGUGGGGAGCAAACAG